rnacentral:tRNA from 1 species
GUAGGUAUAACUCAGUGGUAAGUGUGUGCUUAGCACGCAUGAGGUCCUGGGUUCAAUACCCAGUACCACCA